UACAGAGGGGGCAAGCGUUGUUCGGAAUUACUGGGCGUAAAGGGCGCGUAGGCGCCUUCUAAGUCGAACGUGAAAUCCCCGGGCUCAACCCGGGAACUGCGUCCGAUACUGGAAGGCUUGAAUCCGGGAGAGGGAUGCGGAAUUCCAGGUGUAGCGGUGAAAUGCGUAGAUAUCUGGAGGAACACCGGUGGCGAAGGCGGCAUCCUGGACCGGCAUUGACGCUGACGGCGCGAAAGCGUGGGGAGCAAACAGG
rnacentral:rRNA from 1 species